CGCUAGCUACAGGCUUAACACAUGCAAGUCGAGGGGCAGCAUGGUCUUAGCUUGCUAAGGCCGAUGGCGACCGGCGCACGGGUGAGUAACGCGUAUCCAACCUGCCUUACACUCUUGGACAGCCUUCUGAAAGGGAGAUUAAUACAAGAUGUUAUCAUGAGUAAGCAUUUUCGCAUGAUUAAAGGUUUACCGGUGUAAGAUGGGGAUGCGUUCCAUUAGAUAGUAGGCGGGGUAACGGCCCACCUAGUCUUCGAUGGAUAGGGGUUCUGAGAGGAAGGUCCCCCACAUUGGAACUGAGACACGGUCCAAACUCCUACGGGAGGCAGCAGUGAGGAAUAUUGGUCAAUGGACGAGAGUCUGAACCAGCCAAGUAGCGUGAAGGAUGAAGGUUCUAUGGAUUGUAAACUUCUUUUAUACGGGAAUAAACGAAUCCACGUGUGGAUUUUUGCAUGUACCGUAUGAAUAAGGAUCGGCUAACUCCGUGCCAGCAGCCGCGGUAAUACGGAGGAUCCGAGCGUUAUCCGGAUUUAUUGGGUUUAAAGGGAGCGUAGAUGGGUUGUUAAGUCAGUUGUGAAAGUUUGCGGCUCAACCGUAAAAUUGCAAUUGAUACUGGCAGUCUUGAGUACAGUUGAGGUAGGCGGAAUUCGUGGUGUAGCGGUGAAAUGCUUAGAUAUCACGAAGAACUCCGAUUGCGAAGGCAGCUUACUAACCUGUAACUGACAUUGAUGCUCGAAAGUGUGGGUAUCAAACAGGAUUAGAUACCCUGGUAGUCCACACGGUAAACGAUGAAUACUCGCUGUAGGCGAUAUACAGUCUGCGGCCAAGCGAAAGCAUUAAGUAUUCCACCUGGGGAGUACGCCGGCAACGGUGAAACUCAAAGGAAUUGACGGGGGCCCGCACAAGCGGAGGAACAUGUGGUUUAAUUCGAUGAUACGCGAGGAACCUUACCCGGGCCUAAAUUGCAACCGAAUAUGGCGGAAACGCUAUAGCUAGCAAUAGCGGUUGUGAAGGUGCUGCAUGGUUGUCGUCAGCUCGUGCCGUGAGGUGUCGGCUUAAGUGCCAUAACGAGCGCAACCCUUGCCGAUAGUUACUAACAGGUCAUGCUGAGGACUCUGUCGGGACUGCCAUCGUAAGAUGUGAGGAAGGUGGGGAUGACGUCAAAUCAGCACGGCCCUUACGUCCGGGGCUACACACGUGUUACAAUGGGGGGUACAGAGGGCUGCUACCACGCAAGUGGAUGCCAAUCCCAAAAACCUCUCUCAGUUCGGAUUGAAGUCUGCAACCCGACUUCAUGAAGCUGGAUUCGCUAGUAAUCGCGCAUCAGCCACGGCGCGGUGAAUACGUUCCCGGGCCUUGUACACACCGCCCGUCAAGCCAUGGGAGCCGGGGGUACCUGAAGUGCGUAACCGCAAGGAGCGCCCUAGGGUAAAACUGGUGACUGGGGC
rnacentral:rRNA from 1 species